rnacentral:lncRNA from 1 species
GCAAUUGGCGGCAGUCCCCGAGUCAUCGAGAGUUUCUUGGCUCGAGAGCCAUAACUUGCAAACUUGGUAUUGCCUUAUUGAGGGCUAACAAUUUUGGAGCUUCCGACCCGGAGGUUAUGUGACCUUGAGUUUUCGACACCAGUCCCCGAGUGUUCGAGAUGUUUUUGGCUUUGGAGCUGUUUCGUGAUAUUGAUGCGGCUUCAUUGAGGGC